rnacentral:rRNA from 1 species
UGGGGAAUAUUGCACAAUGGGCGCAAGCCUGAUGCAGCCAUGCCGCGUGUGUGAAGAAGGCCUUCGGGUUGUAAAGCACUUUCAGCGGGGAGGAAGGCGUUAAGGUUAAUAACCUUGGCGAUUGACGUUACCCGCAGAAGAAGCACCGGCUAACUCCGUGCCAGCAGCCGCGGUAAUACGGAGGGUGCAAGCGUUAAUCGGAAUUACUGGGCGUAAAGCGCACGCAGGCGGUCUGUCAAGUCGGAUGUGAAAUCCCCGGGCUCAACCUGGGAACUGCAUUCGAAACUGGCAGGCCAGAGUCUUGUAGAGGGGGGUAGAAUUCCAGGUGUAGCGGUGAAAUGCGUAGAGAUCUGGAGGAAUACCGGUGGCGAAGGCGGCCCCCUGGACAAAGACUGACGCUCAGGUGCGAAAGCGUGGGGAGCAAACAGG